AUCCAGUUGACGAGUCCUAAAUAGGACGAAACGCGUGUCCUGGAU
rnacentral:hammerhead_ribozyme from 1 species